rnacentral:rRNA from 1 species
GAUGAACGCUGGCGGCGUGCCUAAUACAUGCAAGUCGAGCGAACGGACGAGAAGCUUGCUUCUCUGAUGUUAGCGGCGGACGGGUGAGUAACACGUGGAUAACCUACCUAUAAGACUGGGAUAACUUCGGGAAACCGGAGCUAAUACCGGAUAAUAUUUUGAACCGCAUGGUUCAAAAGUGAAAGACGGUCUUGCUGUCACUUAUAGAUGGAUCCGCGCUGCAUUAGCUAGUUGGUAAGGUAACGGCUUACCAAGGCAACGAUGCAUAGCCGACCUGAGAGGGUGAUAGGCCACACUGGAACUGAGACACGGUCCAGACUCCUACGGGAGGCAGCAGUAGGGAAUCUUCCGCAAUGGGCGAAAGCCUGACGGAGCAACGCCGCGUGAGUGAUGAAGGUCUUCGGAUCGUAAAACUCUGUUAUUAGGGAAGAACAUAUGUGUAAGUAACUGUGCACAUCUUGACGGUACCUAAUCAGAAAGACACGGCUAACUACGCG